UACGAAGGGUGCAAGCGUUACUCGGAAUUACUGGGCUUAAAGCGUGCGUAGGUGGUUCGUUAAGUCUGAUGUGAAAGCCCUGGGCUCAACCUGGGAAUGGCAUUGGAAAUUGGCGACCUAGAGUGCGGUAGAGGGUAGUGGAAUUCCCGGUGUAGCAGUGAAAUGCGUAGAGAUCGGGAGGAACAUCUGUGGCGAAGGCGACUGCCUGGACCAGCACUGACACUGAGGCACGAAAGCGUGGGGAGCAAACAGG
rnacentral:rRNA from 1 species